rnacentral:lncRNA from 10 species
UGCAGAUGUACUGCAUGAACAAGCAACCUGCUGUGUUUCAUUGUGAAGCUGUGGCCAGCCCAAUUGAAGAGUCCUAAAGCCAUAUGCCAGAAACCUUAAAGAACUUCUGCAAAAUGUGACGGUUCAAGACAAGAUUAAAGACUGGCUUGACCUGACUUCACAGAAACAAUGAAUUCGGAAAGCAAACAGAGGAGUCUGCAUGAAUGGAGUAAAAUUAUUACUGUUAUCAUUGUCAUCAUCAUCUUCACAGCUAACACUUUCUCUGAGCUUACCAUAUGCUGGGCACUCUUCUAUGCACCCUAUAUCUAGGCUCAUAGAAUCCUCACGACAUAAACCCAGGAGGUCAGCAUUAUUAAUAUCUCCAUUUUAUGGAGGAAGAAACUGAGGUUCAGCCCAGUCAAGUAACUUACCCCAAAUCACAUAGCUAGAAAGUGGUGGAACUGGGACUUGAACCCAGGCAGUCUAGUUUCAGGGCCCUGCCCAUUAACAUUACUAUCUUGCAUGGUCUUUCUCCUUCAUCUGAGUAUCAGUGAUUCAGACAUGGAUGAAUACAGUCUCUGAAAGAAACUUAGCCCAUCUCAGUAAUUUGCAAAUAUAGGCUAUUCUCUGAAUAAAUAAGAAAACAAAAAAGAAUUUACUGUUUGUGGCAAUGGAAAGGGGCCAAUGUGAAAACAGCA